AUCGCAAAUUGCUCUAUCGCUGCGCAUAAAAUAAUUAUUUAAAUGCGGAGAGGAAAGUCCGGGCAACGAAGGGUACCUUGCUUCCUAACAGGAAGGGUUCGGUUUAAAUAAAGGUUUUCCUUUAUGAUUAUUGAAUACAGAAAGUGCUACAGAAAACAAACUACCCCGUUUUGAUAGUAUUAAGACGGGGAAAAGGUGAAAACGUGAGGUAAGAGCUCACGACUUUGUAUGGCGACAUACAUCGUGGUAAACCUCAGGGGUUGAAAGACCAAAUAAGUCUCGAUUUUGGAGCGUCCCGUUCCAAUUGUUUAUUCAAUAUCGAGAUGGGUAGGUCGUUAGAUCAUAAUAGUAAUGUUAUGGCAAGAUAAAUGAUAGAGACAUACUGAUUAAUUCAGGAUGACAGAACCCGGCUUACAAAUUUGCAUUUUUU
rnacentral:RNase_P_RNA from 1 species